CUCGCUUCUCGCGUUCCACACCCGGCUUUGCCAGCUCGGGAGAAACAGAAAAUGAGGGUGAAUGGAUUGUUGGGCAUCGUGAGCUGUUUGAUCGUGGCUUAUAAUUGUGCGUUUGGUGACGAUGUGACAGUGAAGGAGGGCGAUUCAGUCGUUCUGAAGACCGGUGUUAAGAAAAAGCCAGAUGAAACGAUGCUGUGGUAUUACGAAGGCGCUCGAUUGGCUGUAGUCAACAAGGAUCCAAGCUCAAGCUGUAAAUAUGACGGAGAAGGCGGGAGAUUCAAAGACAGACUGGAGGUGGACUACGAGACCGCAUAUCUGACCAUCACGGACCUCAGACUUGAAGACUCUGGACGUUAUGAAGCAGAGAUUGUUAGAAGCAUGAGUUCAGGCAGAACCCAAAGCUUGAACAGAAACCAUGCAACGUGUGACAGCACAAAAGUGAUAAAAAAACAACCUUGGUGACACCAUAAAAUCAAUUGAAGUUCAUGUCGUAGACGAAACCAAAGAGGAAUCCUCUUCAACUGGAACGAUUAUAGGUAUUGGAAUAUUUGUCGCUCUGCUGGUUCUUGGUGGGAUUGGCUUUGUAAAAUAUAAAAUCUACAGAAAAG